GAUGAACGCUGGCGGCGUGCCUAAUACAUGCAAGUCGAGCGAAUGGAUUAAGAGCUUGCUCUUAUGAAGUUAGCGGCGGACGGGUGAGUAACACGUGGGUAACCUGCCCAUAAGACUGGGAUAACUCCGGGAAACCGGGGCUAAUACCGGAUAACAUUUUGAACCGCAUGGUUCGAAAUUGAAAGGCGGCUUCGGCUGUCACUUAUGGAUGGACCCGCGUCGCAUUAGCUAGUUGGUGAGGUAACGGCUCACCAAUGCAACGAUGCGUAGCCGACCUGAGAGGGGGAUCGGCCACACUGGGACUGAGACACGGCCCAGACUCCUACGGGAGGCAGCAGUGGGGAAUCUUCCGCAAUGGACGAAAGUCUGACGGAGCAACGCCGCGUGAGUGAUGAAGGCUUUCGGGUCGUAAAACUCUGUUGUUAGGGAAGAACAAGUGCUAGUUGAAUAAGCUGGCACCUUGACGGUACCUAACCAGAAAGCCACGGCUAACUACGUGCCAGCCGCCGCAGUAA
rnacentral:rRNA from 1 species